AUGGUGGUAUGCGCAAGAUGUUCGCCGUCUCGUCGUUGCAUCUGAUUCCCCUCGCUCCCAGGAUGAGUGGUAGAAAGCGAAGUCUCUCGCCCGGAGAGUCAUAGUUACUCCCGCCGUUUACCCGCGCUUUUUUGAAUCUCUUCACGUUGACAUUCAGAGCACUGGGCAGAAAUCGCAUUGAAACGUGACGGUCGUGAUUAUCGUAUAUGCAAAGAACAGGGGAUUCCUUGCUCGAAGGAACUAAUUUUGAAAAAUGAUGUAAAUAUUCUAAAAAUAUUGGCCCGUUCAUCCAACCAGACGGGUUUGCACUGCCAGAUGAUCCAGUUGGAGCAUUUUUUAACAUAGUCCUUAAAUUUUGCUCUAGGAAAAAUAAAGCACGGUGGAAUUGAGUUUCCUAUUGCAUUAAUAGUUGCACAAACGAUGACCGUUUCUCCUUUUUCGCGAGACGUAGCGCGUCCGAUUUGUUUUCUGCCUUUCUCUGCAAUAAUUUUGCUUGGUCGGUGAACUGUUUGAAGCCCAGUUUCAUCAAGAUUGUAAAUAAAGGCUGGAUUAAACUGAUAUUUUUCAAAUAAAUGGGCAAGUUUGUCAAAAAACUCCCCAACGUUUUUUUUUGUUAAAGCUAGUAGCUCUCGACAAACUUGUUGAUACUGGCUUCCUAAUUGAUAGGUUCUUUUACCUUUGAAGAAAUCCUUUAAGCCAAUCUUUGCUUGCGCGUCCGUUUACCCACCAAUUGUCAGGUACUUUUUUACUAUUAGCUACAGCGUAAUUAUAAGCUAGCUCUUUGACUUGGUUAAUAUUCAGCCCAUAAUGCAUAUUAGCCGCUGUAAUAAGAUAUUCUGCUAAUGCUUUUUCUUCACAAUCGGUAAAAAGCUGCCUGCUAACAAAUUUUGAACUGUAAGUUUGGUUCCCCGGAACUCUUUUUGAUUUUACAUAUCCAAAUAGUGUAGAUUUGGGACUAUUGUAAUCUGCAGCUGCCUGUCUGACGGACUUGACUUUAUUCCUUAUAUCAUCCAACGCUCGUUGGAAAACGUCUGGAGAAAUGUUAGCCUGUCUUGCAGGACGCUUUAGCUGACAUGGGGCCUUUUUCUUGUAAACGGUCCGCAUAUUCUGUGAGAUAAAACGCUCUUAUUAAAAUAAAAUAAUAAUAAGGUAUAAACGUACCUCAUGCAACCGUCCGAAACAUCCCUCUACUGGUUUUAGAUAUUUGGGAAAUUUUAAAAAAAGUUAGGUUAUAGGUAGGUAAGCUAAGUGUUGAGUAUAUGACAAAAACUACAAAGGACGGUCUAUCUUUAAGUACCAAUACAAUAUAAAUACCUACAGGUGCUACAGUGUUCAAAAUUCACAACGGCGGUAAUAUUUAAGUAUGUCCUAAACAUCCCGCGGUCCGAAAGGUACCUACUCUCCCCUACAUUGUUCACGUAGGAAAUCCCACCCGAAUACAUCUGUUUGGGUUUCAAUGUAAGAAAUGUAACAUUUGGAAAAAAACACAUAAUAAACACGUUGACAUACGUUGUUGUGAUACAAAAUGCACAGGAAGCGAAUAUUCUUGGAAUCGGUGCGACAAGUGUAUUUAAAAAUGAUAUUGGAGAUUAAAAAUUUUUGUAGGCCUAUACAGACACACGUAACCUCACUUAUUCGUAAAUUUAAAGUUGACCUACAUCCUAUCCUCCUUGAGCAUGUUCACUCUUUGACAACCACAGGGCUGACAUAACAAUUUUAAAACGAAUAGGGUUAUUGUGCACUUGGUUAAAGUUUUUGUAUAAAACGAAUGGUUUGGUGUUGACAGAAGUGACUACGUCACCAAUAUCAACCUAAAACGAAUAAAACUAAUGUCGCAAAAGGUUGGGAUUAAAUUGGUAGGUACGCAGCGCGACACGAAUUGGAAGGGAUUGGUCAAACAUUACAAGAUAGUCAAGAAAUAUAACGACACUUCCGGCAACGAUCCAAAAUUUUGAAAAUUUUUUGACUUACUAAAUGAAAUAUUACAGAAAAAACCUGAAAUUCAACCAGUUGCAACAUGUAGCAGUGCAAGGGAUCUGGAAAUACCUGGAGCAUCAGAUGAAGCAAGAACUAGCGAUUGUGGAACCACUUCUAGCGGGACAAGUACUCCUACUCACAAAAGGAAAAGAAGGACGGUAGAGAACAGCAUUGACACAGAGACAUAGAGAAAGAAUGCAGCGACAAGACCAAUUUAUUGCUAUACUUAAAGAUGUUGCAAAUACUAUGGAACACAAGUGUGAUUGCGAAAAAAAAAUCACUCUUCUAGUGAUGAUCAGUUUCUUUGCAAUGAUGCUGUGUCUAUAAUCUUAUGUUUUAUUCAAUAAAAAAUGUUCCAUGAA